UGGGGAAUUUUGCGCAAUGGGGGAAACCCUGACGCAGCAACGCCGCGUGAGUGAUGAAGGCCUUCGGGUCGUAAAGCUCUGUCUAGAGGAAAGAAGUGUGCGAAGGCUAAUAUCCUUUGUACUUGACGGUACCUCUGAAGGAAGCACCGGCUAACUCCGUGCCAGCAGCCGCGGUAAUACGGAGGGUGCGAGCGUUGUUCGGAUUUAUUGGGCGUAAAGCGCGUGUAGGCGGUUUCUUAAGUCUGAUGUGAAAGCCCCGGGCUCAACCUGGGAAGUGCAUUGGAUACUGGGAGACUUGAAUACGGGAGAGGGUAGUGGAAUUCCUAGUGUAGGAGUGAAAUCCGUAGAUAUUAGGAGGAACACCGGUGGCGAAGGCGGCUACCUGGACCGAUAUUGACGC
rnacentral:rRNA from 1 species